CUGUAAAAGUCAUUUUAUUCUGGAGGAAAUGUAACACCAAAGUUGUAACAGUCUUUCAACAAAGUCAAACAGAAUCAUCAAAAGGGCUCCUGGGACAAUCGAGGUUAGAAUGACGUUGGUCAGUCAGUCCGGCGGACUUGAGCGCAAUCUUCCCUCUCACUACCGGUUGGGGAGCCCCGAUGUUGCCUCCGGCAGAGCGCCACUUGGCCUGGCCUGCGCUUUACCUUCAUUUCCGCCCGCGGAAUCCUCCAGGAUCUUCCCGCCAAGGCUCGGGUUUCCGCUCCGCGGCGUCCAAGCGCAAGCGGACUGCGCAUGUGCAGGACCCAGCAGGUCUAGAGCUUUGCUGUGUCUCCCCGGACUUCGAGCCAUGGCGGUGACGGAAGCGAGCCUGUUGCGCCAGUGCCCGCUGCUUCUGCCACAGAACCGGUCGAAAACCGUGUAUGAGGGAUUCAUCUCAGCUCAGGGAAGAGACUUCCACCUUAAAGUAGUGUUGCCUGAAGAUUUACAACUGAAGAAUGCAAGAUUAUUAUGUAGUUGGCAGCUGAGAACAAUACUUAAUGGAUACCAUCAAAUAGUACAGCAGAGGAUGCAGCAGUCUCCUGAUCUAAUGAGCUUUAUGAUGGAGUUGAAGAUGCUUUUGGAAGUUGCCUUAAAGAAUAGACAAGAGCUAUAUGCACCACCUCCUCCUCCCCAGUUCUACUCAAGCAUUAUUGAAGAGAUAGGAACUCUUGGUUGGGAUAGACUUGUGUAUGUGGAUACCUGCUUCAGUACCAUCAAGUUAAAAGCAGAAGAUGCUUCUGGUAGAGAGCAUUUAAUAACUCUCAAGUUGAAGGCAAAGUAUCCUGCAGAAUCACCAGAUUGUUUUGUGGAUUUUCCUGUUCCAUUUUCUGCUUCCCGGACACCUCAGGUAAAUUCUCCUCAGAGCUCCUUAAUAAGCAUUUAUAGUCAGUUUUUGGCAGCAAUAGAAUCACUAAAGGCAUUCUGGGAUGUUAUGGAUGAAAUCGAUGAGAAGACCUGGGUACUUGAGCCAGAAAAACCUCCACGGAGUGCAACAGCACGUAGAAUUGCAUUAGGGAAUAAUGUUUCCAUAAAUAUAGAGGUAGACCCCAGGCAUCCUACUAUGCUUCCUGAGUGCUUCUUUCUUGGAGCUGACCAUGUGGUAAAACCCCUGGGAAUUAAGCUGAGCAGGAACAUACAUUUGUGGGAUCCAGAAAAUAGUGUGCUACAAAACUUGAAAAAUGUUUUAGAAAUUGAUUUUCCAGCUCGUGCUAUCCUGGAAAAAUCUGAUUUUACUAUGGAUUGUGGAAUUUGUUAUGCUUAUCAACUUGAUGGUGCCAUUCCUGAUCAAGUGUGUGAUAAUUCCCAGUGUGGACAACCUUUCCAUCAAAUAUGCUUAUAUGAGUUACUAAUGAGUGGAGAAAUGUCCUGAAAUAUCCAAGAAGGGAGAAAAUCUAUCCAGAAUAUAUUCAUGGACUAGCUUAUUGACACACAACAAAUUAAAUUGAUGGUACAUUGGAAUCUUUCUAUAAUAUACCUUGUUACCACAGUGUAAACUUCCUAGAUUUACCCAAGGUGGAGGUGGUUGAAAGUGGCAGCAAUAAAGUGAAAAUGAAAUUAGCACUAUGUAGUACUUAUUACUUUUCAGGCUACAUUUAAGAAUAGAAUAUAUCCAAUAAUACUGCUUUUCAUGUUGAGAAGAAUGCCUUUUGUGAUCUGAACAUCUCACAGCACUCAGGCAAUGCCACUUUAUUUACUAUAUGUGAAAUCUACUUUCAUUCCUGUCUGUAGUCAUUUGCUUCACUUAAGGGCCUAGCUGAUAGAUGAUAAACUGUGUGCACCUAUAUACAGAACACCGUGCAAUUGUAUGUUGCCUUCAGUUUCAGCCUUCCUUUAUAUCACAUCUUUACUUUUGUGAUUAGAGGUAGCAGUUAGUGCCAUCUGUACUUUGCCAAUGGAGAACUUAGGCAGACAUCUAUUUACCUUAUAUAAAAUCAAAAUAUCAGGUCAAAUUACAGAAAUACUCUAAGGGAACACAUGCUUUCUUUUGUAAUUAUGAAUAUUCAUUUAAUUUUAAAAAAUUCACUGGCUCAUGCUUGUAAUCAAUGGGUUGAAAAUUAACCUACUGUUAGUGAUUAAGACCAGAACUAAGAAGGAAAUUUUCAAGAGCCUAUAGUAUCUUUUAACAGCAGGAGUUGUUAAUUUGUGAUUAAUGGGUUUAGGGAAGGUCUAUGAACACCAGGAAGUUGUAUGCAUUAUUUUUAUGUAUAUCUAUUCUGGGGAUAAAGAAAAUGCAUAAUUCUCAUCAAAUUCUUAAAGGAGCCCAUAAUCUGGUUAUAAACCAGUGGUUUAGACCUUCAAUUCCAUGUUGAUUUCCCUUGUUGUUCAACAUAUCAAUAGUCUGCUAUUGGCUCAGGAAAUAUACCCCUUACUCCUGCAAAACAAAAAAGCAAAGUCUUCUGGAAUAAAAAUAUAAUGCACUUUAAAACAAAGGGAAUAACAUUUGGAGUAUCUGUAAUUUGAAAUCAUGCUGACGCUUCUCCUUUAUCUUUUAAAAUUUGCAGUGGCUGAGAGGACUACUAACUAGUAGACAGAGUUUUAACAUCAUAUUUGGUGAAUGUCCAUAUUGUAGUAAGCCAAUUACCUUAAAAAUGUCUGGGAGGAAACACUGAAAUAAGAAUAUAACAUUUUGGUGAAGAGCUGGAAACUUAAAAAAUUAUCAAAAGGAAUUUUGAUAUCUUCAGAGAAAAUAUAAAGCAAGCAAUACUAACAUCAAAAGGACAGGUAUGAUGAUGCCAUAAUAAUAAAUAUCUGUGUUUGUCUCUUCGCUAAGAGUAAACUGGGAAAUUGUAGGCCAAAGUCCAGUUGAACUUUCUGUGAUCCCCGUGCUGACUGUGGAAGUGUAUUUAUACCAAGAUGGAGAUCUUGACUUCUUGAAUAUAUCUGGACUGGUAAAAUCUUGAUGAGGUUCAUAAAAUGACUUUGGGAAUUGUCUAUAGUUGAAUUUUUGUGGGAAACUGUUUGCUUCAUUCAAAAGCUCUUGAGACUCUUGAUAUUUCUCUCUUAUCCUUGUGCUUUCCUAUGGAAAAAAUACAUGUAUAGUUUGUUAGAUGUGAGUUAUCCAAGUAUUUAUUUUGUGUAAUGUAUAAGAAUGCUAAAUAAAAUGUUAUACAAUAUCAA